UCUUGGAUUUCUAGAUCAUAAAGAACUAAUGAUCAUCAGUUUCAGUAUACUCUCACAUUGAAUUGUUUCAACUAUUCUUGGAGUGUUUAGAUCCUCGUGUUUGUCAGGGAUCCCAUCAUAGACAGAGGAAAGAGAGGCGUCUUCUCCCUCAGUCCCUGUGUCACCCGAUGCUCAUUCGUAUCCUGGCAUUUAGGAUAUUAUGUUUGUGAAAUUAUGUUUGCUUCCUGUCUCUCCCAGGGGCUCCUCUGGACAGAAACUAGGGUUUAGUCAUCAUAUGUGCUUCCUGCUAGAAGCCCACAGCCUUGAAUAAUGGCUUCCUGCCUCCUCAAGUCGUUUUAAUAUCCCCAGUGUCUAGCACAGGAACUGGCAUGUGUCGAGCUGCUCAGGAAAUGGUGGGAUCUGAACACCCAGCCCACUGCUGUGCUGGGGCUAUUUGAGGCUUGCUGUCAGGCAGGGAGAUGUUUUUAAUUGGGCUUUCUGCCCUUGUUGAGUCUUCCCUUAAAUAAAGUCCAAAGUCCAAGGGGCAAAUGGCCAGAUGGCCAGAUGCACUGCCCAGUGAGGCAGGGAGCCAAAGGAGCACAGCCCCAUAAGGACCGCCCUUCUCUCUGGGAGAACAGUGGCUAACCUGGAGUCCCUGCCCAGGCUCACCCCAGGCCAGAGCUUCCCAGCUUCCUCCCUUUGCUCACCUCAGGGUUUCUUGCACCCCAUGGAAAGCUAAGAUUUUCCUAACCCUAAAAGAAUGUGCAUUUCACUGCUUUGGAUUGAUGAAUAUCAGUGCCCUUCUUUUAUCUUUCCUGGAGGCCAGAGGGGACUGGGCAGUAAGUGGCAAGUUGUACUUGAGGACACAAAGAAUUUUUCUGUACAUAUUUUACAAAAGACAAGAUCCCUUGAAUAAACAGGACGAUUGUUCCAUUUGAACAUGGGACGGGAAACUAAAAUGCAUUUAAAAUAUUUGGUAUUCAUUUGAACAGGUUGAAUGGAAUGACUUCCUAUGGCCAUGAGUGUGUCUUGCUUUUCAUGUGGACUUGUGUGUGGUUUCUAGAUUGGAGCAAGGUUAUUGUGCUCUGAAUGAGCAACGUGAAGAGCCUCCCCAUGCUGCUCUGGGCAUCUCCACUCUGGGCAAAGCCAUUAGAAAUCCAUAAAACCUCAAGACAUGGUUUUUGGCAAAAAACUCCAUGACUUUAAACUAGUUAUGUUACUAUUGACCCUGCCCAAAGAAAAUAUUUUUCUUGGAAAAAAUUUUUUUCUUCUCAUUUUUUUCCUUUGUAGGUUGGAACAAAGACAGUAGUGCCUUGCAUUAUGCAGAGUAAAAUUUUUUUUUUUUUUAAGUAUUUUGGAGACUACAAGGAUAAUAUUUGAACUUGUCCAAAAGUUUUAUAAAGAGGCUGAGUGUGAAGAACUGUAGAUCUUUAGGUCUGACAUUAAACAUUUUAUUAUAAAGAUUCUCAGGUUUUGUUUUCUAAUUCUCCAAAUCAGAGCCAGUGAUUUUAAAGGGUUUCAUGAUUCUCUCAGACAAAAGUGAUUUUAAUUCAUUAUAAAAAGUGAUAAGCGAUCUGUGCUGUGUAGCAGAUUUAAUAUGGGGGAGGGAAGGACAUCACUGACUUAAACAAUAAUACAGUUUUAUUAGGUGCUUUCUUACUUCACCGUAAAUAUUUGCCUUCUUACUUUCUAAACAGAGGGGUUUGGGGAUUUGUCUUCUGAAGUCUGCAACUUGAAGAAGUGUACACUGUGGGUUGAUUUUUCUGGUCACUAUAUAAAGCAAAUAAACUUAAGACACUUUGUAACCAUGUAUUUACUCUGCCAAGUGCCUAUAUUCCAAUAAAAUGUUCAUCCUUGAA